rnacentral:rRNA from 1 species
UACGAAGGGUGCAAGCGUUACUCGGAAUUACUGGGCGUAAAGGGUGCGUAGGUGGUUUGUUAAGUCAGGGGUGAAAUCCCGCGGCCCAACCGUGGAACUGCCUUUGAUACUGGCGAACUUGAGUGCGUGAGGGGUAGGGGGAACGAGCAGUGUAGCGGUGAAAUGCGUAGAUAUUGCUCGGAAGGCCAGAGCCGAAGGGGCCCUACUGGUGCGCAACUGACACUGAGGCACGAAAGCGUGGGGAGCAAACAGG